rnacentral:SRP_RNA from 1 species
ACUUGGCUUGGGCGGCGCUAUGUCCCGAACCUGGUCAGGUCCUGACGGAAGCAGCCAUAAGGGGCCGCUGGCGAGCGUCCAAGCCAUCUGUA